rnacentral:rRNA from 1 species
AACGAACGCUGGCGGCAGGCUUAACACAUGCAAGUCGAACGCGUGCAGCAAUGCACGAGUGGCGCACGGGUGAGUAACGAGUGGAUAUCUGCCUUUUGGUUCGGAAUAACCCCGGGAAACUGGGGCUAAUACCGGAUGGUUCCUACGGGAUAAAGAUUUAUCGCCAAAAGAUGAGUCCGCGUCCGAUUAGCUAGUUGGUGAGGUAAUGGCUCACCAAGGCGACGAUCGGUAGCUGGUCUGAGAGGACGAUCAGCCACACUGGGACUGAGACACGGCCCAGACUCCUACGGGAGGCAGCAGUGGGGAAUAUUGGACAAUGGGGGCAACCCUGAUCCAGCCAUGCCGCGUGAGUGAUGAAGGCCUUCGGGUUGUAAAGCUCUUUUGGCGGGGACGAUGAUGACGGUACCCGCAGAAUAAGCCCCGACUAACUUCGUG